rnacentral:snoRNA from 1 species
CCCCUCUCGGGGUUGCACCUGGAGAGUUUCCACUACUCUACCAGUCUCGGCUAUGGGAGGGAGAGUCAAACAGAGGCAUAUCCGUUCCUAUCCUAGCUUGGGCAGUGGCUAGCGAGUGGCAGACAAUCUGCUACAAGU